GAAUCUUCCACAAUGGACGAAAGUCUGAUGGAGCAAUGCCGCGUGAGUGAAGAAGGUUUUCGGAGCGUAAAACUCUGUUGUGAGGGAAGAACAAGUACGAGAGUAACUGCUCGUACCUUGACGGUACCUCAUUAGAAAGCCACGGCUAACUACGUGCCAGCAGCCGCGGUAAUACGUAGGUGGCAAGCGUUGUCCGGAGUUAUUGGGGGUAAAGCGCGCGCAGGCGGUCCCUUAAAUCUGAUGUGAAAUCCCGCGGCUCAACCGUGGAAGGUCAUUGGAAACUGGGGGACUUGAGUACAGAAGAGGAAAGCGGAAUUCCAAGUGUAGCGGUGAAAUGCGUAGAGAUUUGGAGGAACACCAGUGGCGAAGGCGGCUUUCUGGUCUGUAACUGACGCUCAUGCACGAAAGCGUGGGGAGCAAACA
rnacentral:rRNA from 1 species